UUCCUUUAUCUACGAUCCGGUGAGUACACCAUACAGUGAUAAGAGAAGAAGGAGAAAAACCAGAGCAAAACAGGUAUACAGAAAAUCUGAUCAACUUUCAAUAUCAGUUAUAGAAUCUAAUUUGCCUUAAUAUCUUAGCUUAUGAUAGCUUUAUCCCAGUUGUAUUGAAUUUAAACCGAUAGCUAGUUAAGUGCCUUAUGAAUUUAAUCUGAACUACAUCAGUAGGUUACGUAUAGAGUCCAGGACCAACGGGAUAGAUUGAUAAUCCCUAUGUUUAAUAGCCGUGAUACUUACCAUACAUAGGUCACGAUAGGAAGAACAUACUGCAGAACUGUUUACAAAGAUCCGUCUGUGAACCCUCUGUCGCAUCAACCAAAUCCGAUAAUCAGCGAAAUAUUAUACGGAAUCCUAGUAAAGGGACUAAACGAAAUCGUCGCUUUAACCUUCAGAUCAUUAUUGACUACCUCAAGGA
rnacentral:lncRNA from 11 species